rnacentral:rRNA from 1 species
GGUCAAGCGAAUAAGUGCAUGUGGUGGAUGCCUUGGCGAUAACAGGCGAUGAAGGACGCGACAGCCUGCGAUAAGCCUCGGGGAGCCGGCAAAUGGGCGUUGAUCCGAGGAUUUCCGAAUGGGGAAACCCAACCCGCAAGGGUUACCGACACCUGAAUACAUAGGGUGUCAGGAGCGAACCUGGAGAACUGAAACAUCUCAGUAACCAGAGGAACAGAAAUCAACCGAGAUUCCCAAAGUAGUGGCGAGCGAAAUGG